AACCAUGCCUUCUAGCCGGAGGACAACAGGGAGCGUUCCGGCAACUCGGCCAACACUGGCUCAUACUCUGUCGAUCCUCACUGGUAUGCGGACACCGGUGCGACGGACCAUCUGACGAGCGACCUCGAUCGUCUCUCGUUCCAGGAGCGUUACGGCGGCAAGGACCAGGUUCACGUCGCCAACGGUGCAGGACCGAGCAACGAAGAGGGUUCUUCUGCAAGGUAGAUGCCGUGGAGGUCUCUACCCGGUGCCAAGCCUCAAGUCCACUUCCUUUGUGUCCAGUCAUCGUGCUCUCUCUGGUGUCAAGCUCUCCAUCGAACAUUGGCAUCGAAGAUUAGGUCAUCCGUCCAAAGACGUCGUUGAGUCUGUUCUUAGAUCAAAUAAAUUUGCUUGUGCACCUUCCGAGUCUAGUGUUUGUGACGCAUGUCAACGUGCGAAAGUUCAUCAAUUACCUUUUCGAGAUUCAACUCAUGUAACUCAUACUCCUCUUGAACUUAUUCAUUCCGAUGUAUGGGGUCCUGCCAUUACCUCUGUCGGCGGGUUUAAGUA